CACGGGGGGGAGCAAGCGUUGUUCGGAAUCACUGGGCGUAAAGGGCUCGUAGGCGGUUUGUCGCGUCGGGAGUGAAAACUCAGGGCUUAACCCUGAGCCUGCUUCCGAUACGGGCAGACUAGAGGUAUGCAGGGGAGAACGGAAUUCCUGGUGUAGCGGUGAAAUGCGCAGAUAUCAGGAGGAACACCGGUGGCGAAGGCGGUUCUCUGGGCAUUACCUGACGCUGAGGAGCGAAAGUGUGGGGAGCGAACAGG
rnacentral:rRNA from 1 species